rnacentral:rRNA from 1 species
UACCAGUACAUUGUGGUGCGCUCUCGAAGAGUCGAGUUGUUUGGGAAUGCAGCUCAAAAUGGGUGGUAAAUUCCAUCUAAAGCUAAAUAUUGGGGAGAGACCGAUAGCGAACAAGUACCGUGAGGGAAAGAUGAAAAGAACUUUGGAAAGAGMGUUAAACAGUACGUGAAAUUGCUGAAAGGGAAACGCUUGAAGUCAGUCGCGUUGUGCAGAACUCAGCCUUGCUUUUGCUUGGUGUAUUUUCUGUACGACGGGUCAACAUCAGUUUUGGUCGGUGGAUAAGGUUGUAGGGAAUGUGGCUCUCUCGGGAGUGUUAUAGCCUUGCAGCGUAUACAUCGGCUGGGACUGAGGAACUCAGCACGCCGCAAGGCCGGGUUUUUAACCACGUUCGUGCUUAGGAUGUUGGCAUAAUGGCUUUAAUCGACCCGUCUUGAAACACGGACCAAGGAGUCUAACAUGCUUGCGAGUGUUUGGGUGUUAAACCCGAGCGCGUAAUGAAAGUGAAAGUUGAGAACCCUGUCGUGGGGUGCAUCGACGCCCGGAGCAGACCUUUUGUGACGCAUCCGCGGUAGAGCAAGUACGUUGGGACCCGAAAGAUGGUGAACUAUGCCUGAAUAGGGUGAAGCCAGAGGAAACUCUGGUGGAGGCUCGUAGCGA